UUUGCGAGAUGGAAAAAAGAAGGUUAAAUGUUUUAUUUUAUAUUUAAGUAUAAUAUUUCUUCUAGUGGUUUAUCCACAUAAAAUUCUAGAUAAAAGACUGAUAUUGACAGAUUUUUAUCUAAUAGUCUUGACUAAAUCACGUGCCAGCUGUCGCGGUAAUACGGGAAAGACAAGUGUUAUUCAUCUUUAAUAGGUUUAAAGGGUACCUAGACGGAUACAAGAACUCAGCCCUUUUUUUGAAAAUAAAAAAGGAUGCAAGCUAUAAUGAUUCAUGUUAUACAGAAUUUAUAAUUUUGUAUACAUAGAAUAGUAGAUUUAUAUCUAUACGAGGUGGCCGAAUUACCCAUUGUUUACCUCCUCCGUGACCAGUUUUGCAUGGGUACAAAUAUCUAGAGUUUUAUGUGAGAGGUUAGUGUUAGUACUAACAGAGUAGAGAUGAAAUUUUUUGAUACUGUGGGGCACUGAUAAAGGCGAAGGCAAUCCUCUAUGUAAAAACUGACGUUGAGGGACGAAGGCUUGGGUAGCAAACAGGAUUAGGUACCCUAAUAGUCCAGGCAGAAAAUUAUGAGUGUCAUAAGCUAGAAUGUUUUUAGUUUAUAAAUGAAAGUGUAAGCACUCCACCUCAAGAGUAAUGUGGCAACGCAGGAACUGAAAUCAUUAGACCGUUUCUGAAACCAGUAGUGAAGUAUGUUGUUCAAUUCGAUGGUCCGCGAAAAACCUUACCACAAUUUGGAUAUUAUAGCGGAAUCUAUUACAUAAAUAAAUUUGCUAUUUUUACAGGUGUUGCACGGCUGUCUUUAGUUAAUGUCGUGAGAUGCAGGUUAGCUCCAAUAAAUUAACGUAAACCCUUGCUUUAUUUAUUUUUUAUAAAGUAUCUUUCUAGUAGAUCGGAAAAGAUAACAGGG
rnacentral:rRNA from 1 species